CGUAAAGGGACUUCUGAAAGCAGAAACUCCUACAGAAGAACCUCAGCCACACAUAGACUGUACAAAGAGAGUUACAGGUUUGGCGUGUGGAUGGUCAACAGAAGACUCUUCUUACUGGUUCUGAUCAAUAUAGAUUCUACAGUGGCGAUAGCUAUAUAUUUCAAUAUUCAUAUCCUGGAGACUACAAGGAUGAACACCUUAUAGGGACAUGGCUGGGAAAGCAAAGUGUUGAGAUUCUAGACAUGACGAACGGGUUUAUGUACUAAGACAGUUAAAGGCAUAUAAUUUCAAAAGUUAGGAGCUUGUAUAAAUUUAAUCGCAAAAGAAACUUAUAUGAUGCACUGGUUUGUACAUAACUAUGAG